rnacentral:lncRNA from 1 species
AGGAGAUGGCUGCUGUUUAACAGGCUCUUAACCAAUGGUGCUGGAGGAGAUGGCUGCUGUUUAACAGGCUCUUAACAAAUGGUGCUAUUGUGUGUUUGUGUUAUUUGUAAGUUGUUUUGUCCAUAAUGUUUCUGCCACCGUCUCUUAUGACUGAAAACAGCUUCUGGAUAUCAGGACAGUGAUUACUCACCUCGUACUGGACAAAGAUCUUUUUUAACGAGUUGGACUUGAAGGAUUUACUUCAGACACCUGACAAGGCCCUCAUCCUCGUCAUACGCAGGAGAAAGAGACAGAGAUAUCGGGGACGUAGGUCGGGAUGCCUUGUAAGGAAUUGAUGGCGAGUGGGUAAUCUGCCUCUACCUAUUAGCCUGUAAGGACAGACGCUGGGAGACGAGAAGCAAGUACAGGGAGUGAACAUUUAAUAAAUAACGGACAUGAAACAAAACACGGACAGCGUCUGGACGGGAAACAAAACGACAUUAAUGCUGACUCGGGAAAUAAACUGAGGAAGUGACAGAUAUCGGGGAGGUGAUUAGUAACGUGAUGGAGAGAAACUGAGGAAGUGACAGAUAUCGGGGAGGUGAUUAGUAACGUGAUGGAAAUAAACUGAGGAAGUGACAGAUAUCGGGGAGGUAAUUAGUAACGUGAUGGAGUCCAGGUGAGUCCAGGUGAGUCCAGGUGAGUCCAGGUGAGUCCGAUGACGCGUUGAUGUGUGUAACGAUGGUGGGAGGUGUGAGUAAUGAUCAGCAGCCUGGCGACCUCGAGCGACCUCGAGGGCGAGCAGACGUGACAUAGCCUGGAUAACAAAAUAGAUGAGCUACGAUCACAAAUAUCCUACCAACGGGAUAUUAACUGUAACAUCUUAUGUUUCACCGAGUCGUGGCUGACAUGGAUAACAUACAGCUGGGUGUACGCUGCAUCGGCAAGAUAGAACAGCUGCCUCCGGUAAGACAAGGGUUGACGGUCUGUGUCUAUUUGGAAACAACAGCUGGUGCACGAAAUCUAAUAUUAAGGAAGUCUCAAGGUUUUGCUCGCCUGAGGUAGAGUAUCUCAUGAUAAGCUGUAGACCACACUAUUUACCAAGAGAGUUUUAAUCUAUAUUUUUCAUAGCUGUCUACCACCACAAACUGAUGCUGCCAUUAAGACCGCAAACAAUGAGCUGUAUAAGGC